ensembl:lncRNA
AUGCAAUUACUCCGCUGCCUUGACCUGCGUUUCUUAUUGUGUGGCAGCAGGGGGUCCUCUCAUCUGUCCCCUCAUCUGUCCUCUCAUCUGUCCCCUCAUCUGUCCUCUCAUCUGUCCCCUCAUCUGUCCUCUCAUCUGUCCUCUCAUCUGUCCUCCCAUCGUCCUCAUCUGUCCCUCUCAUCUGUCCCCUCAUCUGUCCCCUCAUCUGUCCUCUCAUCUGUCCCCUCAUCUGUCCCCUCAUCUGUCCUCUCAUCUGUCCUCUCAUCUGUCCCCUCAUCUGUCCCCUCAUCUGUCCUCUCAUCUGUCCCCUCAUCUGUCCCCUCAUCUGUCCUCUCAUCUGUCCCCUCAUCUGUCCUCUCAUCUGUCCCCUCAUCUGUCCUCUCAUCUGUCCUCUCAUCUGUCCCCUCAUCUGUCCCCUCAUCUGUCCUCUCAUCUGUCCUCCCAUCUGUCCCCUCAUCUGUCCUCUCAUCGGUCCUCUCAUCUGUCCUCCCAUCUGUCCUCCCAUCUGUCCUCUCAUCGGUCCUCUCAUCUGUCCUCCCAUCUGUCCUCUCAUCUGUCCUCUCAUCUGUCCCCUCAUCUGUCCCCUCAUCCGUCCCCUCCAUCUGUCCAUCCUCUGUCCUCUCAUCGGUCCUCUCUAUCUGUCCUCUCAUCUGUUCUCCCAUCUGUCCUCUCAUCUGUCCUUCUAUCUGUCCUCUCACCUGUCCUCUCAUCUGUCCCCUCAUCUGUCCCCUCAUCUGUCCUCUCAUCUGUCCUCUCAUCUGUCCUCCCAUCUGUCCUCCCAUCUGUCCUCCCAUCUGUCCUCUCAUCGGUCCUCUCAUCUGUCCUCUCAUCUGUCCUCUCAUCUGUCCUCUCAUCUGUCCCCUCAUCUGUCCUCUCAUCUGUCCUCCCAUCUGUCCUCUCAUCUGUCCUCUCAUCUGUCCUCCCAUCUGUCCUCCCAUCUGUCCUCCCAUCUGUCCUCUCAUCUGUUCUCCCAUCUGUCCUCUCAUCUGUUCUCCCAUCUGUCCUCUCAUCUGUCCUCUCAUCUGUUCUCCCAUCUGUCCUCUCAUCUGUCCUCCCAUCUGUCCCCUCAUCUGUCCUCUCAUCGGUCCUCUCAUCUGUCCUCCCAUCUGUCCUCCCAUCUGUCCUCUCAUCGGUCCUCUCAUCUGUCCUCCCAUCUGUCCUCUCAUCUGUCCUCUCAUCUGUCCCCUCAUCUGUCCCCUCAUCCGUCCUCCCAUCUGUCCCCUCAUCUGUCCUCUCAUCGGUCCUCUCAUCUGUCCUCUCAUCUGUUCUCCCAUCUGUCCUCUCAUCUGUCCUCUCAUCUGUCCUCUCACCUGUCCUCUCAUCUGUCCCCUCAUCUGUCCCCUCAUCUGUCCUCUCAUCUGUCCUCUCAUCUGUCCUCCCAUCUGUCCUCCCAUCUGUCCUCCCAUCUGUCCUCUCAUCGGUCCUCUCAUCUGUCCUCUCAUCUGUCCUCUCAUCUGUCCUCUCAUCUGUCCCCUCAUCUGUCCUCUCAUCUGUCCUCCCAUCUGUCCUCUCAUCUGUCCUCUCAUCUGUCCUCCCAUCUGUCCUCCCAUCUGUCCUCCCAUCUGUCCUCUCAUCUGUUCUCCCAUCUGUCCUCUCAUCUGUUCUCCCAUCUGUCCUCUCAUCUGUCCUCUCAUCUGUUCUCCCAUCUGUCCUCUCAUCGGUCCUCUCAUCGGUCCUCUCAUCGGUCCUCUCAUCUGUCCCCUCAUCUGUCCUCCCAUCUGUCCCCUCAUCUGUCCCCUCAUCUGUCCUCUCAUAGCUGAUGUUUCUGCCCUGCCUUUGUGGACGCCCAGUUUUGAGGGGUGUUUCUGA